CCUACGGGAGGCAGCAGUGAGGAAUAUUGGUCAAUGGACGAGAGUCUGAACCAGCCAAGUAGCGUGAAUGAUGACUGCCCUAUGGGUUGUAAACUUCUUUUAUAUGGGAAUAAAAUGUUCCACGUGUGGGAUUUUGUAUGUACCAUAUGAAUAAGGAUCGGCUAACUCCGUGCCAGCAGCCGCGGUAAUACGGAGGAUCCGAGCUUUAUCCGGAUUUAUUGGGUUUAAAGGGAGCGUAGGUGGAUUGUUAAGUCAGUUGUGAAAGUUUGCGGCUCAACCGUAAAAUUGCAGUUGAAACUGGCAGUCUUGAGUACAGUAGAGGUGGGCGGAAUUCGUGGUGUAGCGGUGAAAUGCUUAGAUAUCACGAAGAACUCCGAUUGCGAAGGCAGUUCACUGGACUGCAACUGACACUGAGGCUCGAAAGUGUGGGUAUCAAACAGGAUUAGAUACCCCUGUAGUC
rnacentral:rRNA from 1 species